UCACAAGUGUCUGCCGUGUCGGGUGGGC
rnacentral:piRNA from 1 species